rnacentral:tRNA from 1 species
GGGCCUGUGGUCUAGCUGGUUAUGACGCCGCCUUCACACGGCGGAGAUCAGGCGUUCAAAUCGCCUUGGGCCCA